AUUGAACGCUGGCGGCAGGCCUAACACAUGCAAGUCGAACGAGUGGCGGACGGGUGAGUAAUGUCUGGGAAACUGCCUGAUGGAGGGGGAUAACUACUGGAAACGGUAGCUAAUACCGCAUACCAUCAGAUGUGCCCAGAUGGGCUUAGCUAGUUGGUGGGGUAACGGCUCACCAAGGCGACGAUCCCUAGCUGGUUUGAGAGGAUGACCACACACACUGGAAUUGCGACACGUUCCAGACUCCUACGGGAGGCAGCAGUGGGGAAUAUUGCAAAAUGGGCGCAAGCCUGAUGCAGCCAUGCCGCUUGUAUGAAGAAGGCCUUCGGGUUGUAAAGUACUUUCAGCGGGGAGGCGUUACCCGCAGAAGAAGCACCGGCUAACUCCGUGCCAGCAGCCGCGUUAAUAC
rnacentral:rRNA from 1 species